AGAGUUUGAUCCUGGCUCAGGAUGAACGCUAGCUACAGGCUUAACACAUGCAAGUCGAGGGGAAACGACAUUGGAAGCUUGCUUCCGGUGGGCGUCGACCGGCGCACGGGUGAGUAACGCGUAUCCAACCUGCCCACCACUUGGGAAUAACCUUGCGAAAGUAAGACUAAUGCCCAAUGACAUUGAGUGCAGACAUCUAAUCUCAAUUAAAGAUUCAUCGGUGAUGGAUGGGGAUGCGUCCGAUUAGCUUGUUGGCGGGGUAACGGCCCACCAAGGCGACGAUCGGUAGGGGUUCUGAGAGGAAGGUCCCCCACAUUGGAACUGAGACACGGUCCAAACUCCUACGGGAGGCAGCAGUGAGGAAUAUUGGUCAAUGGGCGAGAGCCUGAACCAGCCAAGUAGCGUGCAGGAUGACGGCCCUAUGGGUUGUAAACUGCUUUUAUAAGGGAAUAAAGUGAGAGUCGUGACUCUUUUUGCAUGUACCUUAUGAAUAAGGACCGGCUAAUUCCGUGCCAGCAGCCGCGGUAAUACGGAAGGUCCGGGCGUUAUCCGGAUUUAUUGGGUUUAAAGGGAGCGUAGGCCGGAGAUUAAGCGUGUUGUGAAAUGUAGACGCUCAACGUCUGCACUGCAGCGCGAACUGGUUUCCUUGAGUACGCACAAAGUGGGCGGAAUUCGUGGUGUAGCGGUGAAAUGCUUAGAUAUCACGAAGAACUCCGAUUGCGAAGGCAGCUCACUGGAGCGCAACUGACGCUGAAGCUCGAAAGUGCGGGUAUCGAACAGGAUUAGAUACCCUGGUAGUCCGCACGGUAAACGAUGGAUGCCCGCUGUUGGUCUGAAUAGGUCAGCGGCCAAGCGAAAGCAUUAAGCAUCCCACCUGGGGAGUACGCCGGCA
rnacentral:rRNA from 1 species